AUUGAACGCUGGCGGCAGGCCUAACACAUGCAAGUCGAACGAGUGGCGGACGGGUGAGUAAUGUCUGGUAAACUGCCUGAUGGAGGGGGAUAACUACUGGAAACGGUAGCUAAUACCGCAUACCAUCAGAUGUGCCCAGAUGGGAUUAGCUUGUUGGUGGGGUAACGGCUCACCAAGGCGACGAUCCCUAGCUGGUCUGAGAGGAUGACCGGCCAAACGGGAACUGAGAAACGGUCCGGACCCCUACGGGAGGCAGCAGUGGGGAAUAUUGCACAAGGGGCGAAAGCCUGAUGCAGCCAUGCCGCGUGGAUGAAGAGGGCCUUCGGGUUGUAAAGUACUUUCAGCGGGGAGGCGUUACCCGAAGAAGAAGCACCGGCUAACUCCGUGCCAGCAGCCGCGGUAAUUC
rnacentral:rRNA from 1 species